CCUACGGGAGGCAGCAGUGGGGAAUAUUGCACAAUGGGGGAAACCCUGAUGCAGCGACGCCGCGUGAGUGAAGAAGUAUUUCGGUACGUAAAGCUCUAUCAGCAGGGAAGAAAAUGACGGUACCUGACUAAGAAGCCCCGGCUAACUACGUGCCAGCAGCCGCGGUAAUACGUAGGGGGCAAGCGUUAUCCGGAUUUACUGGGUGUAAAGGGAGCGUAGACGGCAGCGCAAGUCUGGAGUGAAAUCCCAUGGCUUAACCAUAGAACUGCUUUGGAAACUGUGCAGCGAGAGUGCAGGAGAGGUAAGCGGAAUUCCUAGUGUAGCGGUGAAAUGCGUAGAUAUUAGGAGGAACACCAGUGGCGAAGGCGGCUUACUGGACUGUAACUGACGUUGAGGCUCGAAAGCGUGGGGAGCAAACAGGAUUAGAUACCCCGGUAGUC
rnacentral:rRNA from 1 species